rnacentral:rRNA from 1 species
UGGGGAAUAUUGGACAAUGGGCGAAAGCCUGAUCCAGCAAUGCCGCGUGAGUGAUGAAGGCCUUAGGGUUGUAAAGCUCUUUUACCCGGGAUGAUAAUGACAGUACCGGGAGAAUAAGCCCCGGCUAACUCCGUGCCAGCAGCCGCGGUAAUACGGAGGGGGCUAGCGUUGUUCGGAAUUACUGGGCGUAAAGCUCACGUAGGCGGCUUUGUAAGUUAGAGGUGAAAGCCCGGGGCUCAACUCCGGAAUUGCCUUUAAGACUGCAUCGCUAGAAUUGUGGAGAGGUAAGUGGAAUUCCGAGUGUAGAGGUGAAAUUCGUAGAUAUUCGGAAGAACACCAGUGGCGAAGGCGACUUACUGGACACAUAUUGACGCUGAGGUGCGAAAGCGUGGGGAGCAAACAGG